GAAUUCGGGGGAUAGUGGUAGUGAAGGACAGGAGAGUCGUAUCGUAGUACGAAAUAUAUAUGGGAGAGCCAAACGUAGCUGCUCUGUUGGUGAUUAUGGUACGGUACCAGCCACGGAGGCAGAAAAGCAGACCGUCCAUUUCCUGAAUGGCGCAAAUAUUAGAGAUAAAAGGAAGAAAAAGACUUUAAGUUAUAUUAUGAAAGUGAAAUGGAAUGAAGAUACACAUGAAAAAAAAAGGAAAGGAACGUGAAGCCUUCUUUGACUCAUGCCUCAAAGAAUUCAAGGACUAUUAUGUCUAUCAAAAGGGACUGAAGCCAGGAGAGGGGGAUAGAGCUGCUAAAGAGUUCAUGAGCAAGAAAUGGAAGAGUAUCCCUUAUGAGGAAAAGAGUCGGGCUGAUUUAUCAGCUGAAAAUGCAAGGAAAGGGGGAAUGAAAUCAGCUACUCGGCGUGAUUUCAAGCCUCAUUACUUCAACAAACGCACCUGGGAUAAACUGUGUAAUUAUUGGGAGAGUAAAGAGUUUCAAAUUAAGUCAAAAAAUGGAAAAGAAGCCCGAAAGAAGGUGGAACACAUCCAUCACAGAGGGGCCAAGUCUUUUGACGAGAGAC